CUAUAAACAUCGUACAUUUAUGUUUUGGCUUGUGUUGUCAAAUCGGCAUUAAUGGCCAUUAAAUAUCAGGUUCAACAUGGACACGAUUGAUUUCAUUCAAGAUAGAGCACUUUGUCGACGGGAAAUCCAAUCAAGAAAACCCUGACCCUCAAGCAGCUACUGUAUUUGACCAGCUCACACCAGCUAGGCCUCCUCCAAAACUCAGAUAAAUAUUUGAGCCACCAAAAAAAUACGAGAACAGAUCGGUCUGAAUCGUUAAGAACUGAAGCUAACAUCAUAGAGGUACAUCCUUCCAAGAGUCCAUCAAAACAACAUGCUGAACAACUUCAAGAACUCUCUUCAAAAGACCACACUUUCCUGAAAUAAAUAAAAGAUGCCAAUAUUAAAAUAAAUCAGUUACAUGUAUUGUUAAAUAUAUUAAUACUAGC